UAAAACAUGAAACAAAAAGGCGGGAGUAUACGCAUUCGGAAGUCGGAACACGCUUGCUCAGCGCUGCUUCUUCUCUACGACUCUAACUUCUCUCCGGUCCACUACCGUAUUCUAAUCUUCCCCUUCUCUAAUCCUUUCUUCCCUAGAUAAACCAAUCUCCUCUCAUGGCGAAUACUGGCGAAGAUCCGACCCGGACAAUUAACCCUUCGCAAUUUCACUUUCAGUUACCUCACUCUCAUUCUCACUUUCAUAAUCAGAAUUUAUUUUCUUCUUCAAAUAAUUCAACGCCUUCAAAUAGACUCUUCCCUUCCUCUUUCCGUAAACCUCACCACCCGCCUCUCCCUCCUCCUCCUCCUGUUAACAAUGACACUUCUCUCGGCUUUCAAUUCCAGUUCCAACACGCACUCUGCAUUCCGUGAAGUCGCGUUGGGGACGAAAAGUGAAGGUGAUAAUCCUCAGUUUCAGACUGCUAGAGAUGCAACCAUGAACCAUCCGUGCUCAAAGUGAUAUAGUUACUGAUCAAACACUUGUUACUUGCUCUUCAGUCAUCUUCUGGGGGUGAGCGUAGAAGUAAGUCAAAGGUUCCGAAACAUGGCAAAUCAGUGACUGAAAGAUUGAAUGCCUAUUCUCUGAAUUCAGCUACUGGUUGUUGAUAUGACAAUUCUUUAGGUCCAAAAGAGGAGGAUGUAUGAUAUUACAAAUGUUCUGGAAGGGAUAGGAUUGAUAGAGAAAACUUCAAAAAAUCAUAUACGCUGGAAGGGAUAUGAUGAUUUUGAGCAGAAGAUAAUGGAUGAUCAUGCUGGAAUAAAGGCUGAAGUUGAAAGUUUAUAUACUGGAGUUCAGACUCGAUGAAUCUACAAGGGAUAGACGAGAACUUCUGAGAGGCCUGAAGGCGGAUGUGUUUCGUGAAAGCAAGCUAUUUCUCCCUCAGAUUUUAUAGUGUCAAUAUGAAUUGGUUCUUGAGUUUCAUGAAAGUAUGCUAUUUCUCCCUCAGAUUUUAUGGUGAGGCGCACAAAAGGUAAUGAAAUUCGGCCUCACCUUGAGGACCCCAGCUGGAUUUCGUGUCAAUAUGAAUUGGUUCUUGAUUUAUUUGCCUACUUGUUUUUGUUAGUUAUCUCGUUCUGAUGGAAGAAGAUAUUACCAGCCUUUCUUGCUUCCAGGUACACAAAUCUGGGAAUUUCUUUGAAAUCUGUGUGAUAUCCCUUCCCAAAUUCGGUGACACUUUCUAGGUGGUUACUUCAAUAAUGAUGAGGAUAUUAGUUCCCCUCGAUACAAAAUGACUGUUAGAAGCACCAAUGGACCCAUUGUACGUGUAUCUCUUGAGGUAACAUUCACAACAUAUGUGCAGUUUCAUAACGCCCACUAGAUGAUGCUUGUAGCAAAUCCAAACAAGGCAAGGAUGUUACUGUUGAGCAUGUUGAACCAAUGGAUAAAACUGCUUGGAACAGUAUUCAAUGCAGAGAGCAAGAUGCAGUGUUGUCUUCAGAGUGUCAGGGUAGCAGUUGUGAGACAUUCAGCUCACUAACUUUAGAAGCAUCUGGGAUUUAUAAGUUAAUUCCUAGACCAUGCAAAUUAAGUAGUGGAAGCUUCAAAUUGGCUUCAUAAGAGUUUACUAAUUUUUAGUUUGCUCCUGCACAUGCACUUCUAUACACUUGUUUUGGCGUUUGGUUAUAUGGGAGGGAAACUUGACUAACCUGUUUGCAUGUGAUCCAUCCUGUUGCAGAUUAUUGAUUAUUAUUGGUUCCCAACAGAUGAUUCAGUCAGCGUUUCAGAAUUGUGGUUUGAUAGUUUCUCUUAACACUUUGUUGGAUUCAUUAAGUUCUGGUUUUUGAAAUAUCUGGAUCUGCCAUGAGGAAUCCGGAGGCUUAACUUAUCACUGCUGACCUUCAUAUUGUUUAUCACAUGCUAUACCACUGACAUCGAGGAUUUUUUUUCCUCUUGGAUGGCCUCCUCGUCGCUUCUGCAAUGAACGUCAAGAGAAGUUCAUAGUGUAAAUGAAAAUCAGGCAGUAGGCCGUUCAUGAUGCCCGGAAGGAAUCUAAUCAUCAUGCAACGCCAUGUGAAGGACCGUAUCUCGGCCUUGGGUCUCUAUGCUGGGCUUGGAGAUUCAAGAGCCAGUGGGCGUUUAACCAUCUAGCUGCUCGUGUUGAUCAGCUACCCAAACAAUCCUUGUUGAAAAAAUGGGCCAUUUUCUCGACGGCUCUGGUGUUGAUGGGUCAUAAUCUAAUAGCUGAGGGUGUGGCUCCUGGGCUCUUGCAUCCGUCAGCAGCCUAACCUUCUAAUUAUCACUGAAUUCCGCAAAAAUUCAUUGAGUUUUCAUGCCA